GCAGGGCAACAUGCUCACAAUGACAAUAAAGCUGUAAAGAACACGACAUAGAAAUAUGAAGCAGCAAUGUUUAGCAGCCGAUGUUUCGAGCAUGAAUCAGUUCCCUUCAUGAACGGACUCGGGUUUCGUUUUCUGUGAAGACAUUAAAGUUCUACUGCGAUCAACUCUGAAGCUCUCCGGUGCCUUGAAGACUGAAUUUUGGAACAAAUGUUGCACGAGUCGGGACUCAACACCCAGACUUCUGAUACACAACAAUGCAUUGUCUGAGAAACAGAAAUGUCUAUGCCCAUCCAUGUUGGUGUUAAGCUGCAUCACUAGACAAGUAAAAACAUGCAGGUGGUGCAAGAGGAAAAGUCACAGAAUCAUAACUGUCAGUAGGAUUUAUCCUCUGGGUAACAGGAAUCUCUGUCUAAAGCAUCAACGCACUUCAUUCAAUAAUUAGUGAGAUAUUUUUGUUCGGACAAAUGUGGUGGGCUGACGGACCAGCUUUGCCAGUUUAGUGUGUUUAUGUCUUGAUUACGUGAUUAUUAGUUUUGGGGGCAAACCAGAUGAUGUCAAUCUGUCACUGGAAAUCAAAAUCCACAGCAGCCUUCUAACUAUGUCAUUUUGGGUCUUAUGUACUAGGACUAGUAUUAGGAAUUAGUUUUAAUCAAGAUUGGAGAUAUUGUCAUUAAAAUUUUUGGAAAGUGUCCCAA